rnacentral:rRNA from 1 species
AUUGAACGCUGGCGGCGUGCCUUACACAUGCAAGUCGAACGGCAGCACGGGUGCUUGCACCUGGUGGCGAGUGGCGAACGGGUGAGUAAUACAUCGGAACGUACCUUAUCGUGGGGGAUAACGCAGCGAAAGCUGUGCUAAUACCGCAUACGCCCUGAGGGGGAAAGCGGGGGAUCGAAAGACCUCGCGCGACUAGAGCGGCCGAUGCCUGAUUAGCUUGUUGGUGGGGGAAAAGCCCACCAAGGCGACGAUCAGUAGCUGGUCUGAGGGGACGCUCAGCCACAAUGGGAUUGAGACACGGCCCAGACUCCUACGGGAGGCAGCAGUGGGGAAUUUUGGAAAAUGGGGGCAACCCUGAUCCAGCAAUGCCGCGUGAGUGAAGAAGGCCUUCGGGUUGUAAAGCUCUUUUGUCAGGGAAGAAACACCGGCUCUAACACAGUCCGGGAAUGACGGUACCUGAAGAAUAAGCACCGGCUAACUACGUGCCAGCCGCCGCCGUAA